GAAGGCAGGGCGGACCCGUUCUAUUAAAGCUUGGGAAUCUGCCUGUUAGUGGGGGACAACCCUUGGGAAACUCGGGCUAAUACCGCAUACGCACUACGGUGGAAAGCGGCGGACCGCAAGGCGUCGCGCGAUUGGAUGAGCCGAUGUCCGAUUAGCUAGUUGGCGGGGUAAAGGCCCACCAAGGCGACGAUCGGUAGCUGGUCUGAGAGGAUGAUCAGCCACACUGGAACUGAGACACGGUCCAGACUCCUACGGGAGGCAGCAGUGGGGAAUAUUGGACAAUGGGCGAAACCCUGAUCCGAAGGUGCCGCGUGCGGGAAGAAGGCCUUCGGGUUGUAAACCGCUUUUGGCAGGAACGAAACGGCGCUCGCUAACACCGAGCGCUAAUGACGGUACCUGCAGAAUAAGCACCGGCUAACU
rnacentral:rRNA from 1 species